ACAUUGGGCCUGAGAGUUCAUAGAUGUUGACGGAUGGUGUGUCAGCCCCCAUGGGGCUCUGCAGCCUAGAAAGUAGCAGGACCAGGAAGUCAGCAGGUGGAGGUGGCAAGUGAACAGAGGAUGCGUCUUUUUCUCCCUUCCUUUGUCAUCUUUCUCCAUGUGGGUUUUUAUAUUUAUUUACUUAUACUUAGUUUUAUUCCAAAACUUCUUUGAACUGGGUCAUAAAGCCAACUGCAUAUUGUAAAGUAGAAGAAACUAAGCUCUGAGAAAUCAGGUAAAAAGUGGCAAGUGAUAGCUGGUGAUGGAACGCUACCUAUCCUGGCUUACCCUUUUGCAAAUGUUACCUGGGUGAGACAAAGACAUUUGAACCCUGAGGUUUCUUGUAUUGGUUUUGCUUUGUUUUUCUUGGUAUAGACCUAGGAGUGUAAUUGCCCGGUCAUAGGGUGGCUUUAGUAGACACUGCCAGUUUUCCAAAGUGGGUGUCCUAAUUGUCACUCCACUAGCCACGUAUGAGUGUUUCAAACAGCAUAUUCUUCUCAACAUUUGAUGCUAGGUUUUUUUUUUUUUUGUAGAUCUUAGCCAUUUUGGUGAAUAGAUAGUGGUAUCUUGGCAUAGUGGUAUCUCAUUGAGCUUUUACUUUGCAUUUCCGUGAAAAACAAUGCUUUUGAGCACUUUUUGAUAUGUUUAUUGGUCAUUUGAGUAUUUUGUUAUGAAAUGCCUGUUAUUUUGCCUAUUUUUUUAAAAAAAAUUGGGAUUUUUGUGUUCUAAUUACUAGACAUUCUUCCUACAUGUUCUACAUAGAAGUCUUCUGUUGGAUAUGUGUUGUGAAUAUCUUCACAUAUUCUGUGGCUUUUUUUCACUCUCUUAAUAGUGUCUUUUGAUGAACAAAAGUUCUUAGUUUUAAGUAAGUCUAAUUUGUCAGUGGUUUCUUUCAUAGUUAGUGUUUUGGGAUCUUUUGCAAGAAAUCUUUGCCUACCUUAAGCCAAGAAGAUAUUAUACUACCUGCUCUAGAAGCUUUACUAUUUUAUCUUUCAUAUUUAGGUCUAUGAUUCAUUUGAAAUAAAUUUUUGUGUAUGGUAUGAGGUAGGGUGUUCAAUUGCUCCAACAAUACCAUUUCAUGAAGUGACCAUCGUUUUCCCCACUGAAAUGUGGCGGUGUCUUUGUUGUAAAUUUGGUGACCUUAUGUGUGUGUUUCUCUUUCUUGUAGUCUCUGUUGAUUUAUAUGUUUAUCUUUAUGCCCAUAUCAUGUUGUCUUAGUUAUUGUAACUUUAUAUGAAGUUAAAACAUUGUGAUUCUUUUUCAAGACUCUUUUGGCUAACUUUGGUCUUUUGCAUUUUCAUUUAUAUUUUAAAAUCAAUUUGUCAAUUUCCACAAACAAUUCCACUUGAAUUUUAUUAAAAUUAUAUUGAAUCUAUGAAUCAGUUGGGGAUAACUUACAUAUUAAUAUUUAGUCUUCAAUCCACAAAUAUACCUUUCCAUUUAUUUUGGCUUUCUUUAAUUUCUCUCAGCAAAAGUUCUAUGAUUUUCAGUGUAGUGUUCUGGAACAUCUUUUGUUAGAUUUACCUUUAUUGUUAGUGGUUUUGAUGCUUUUGAAAAGGAUAUUGUUUUUCUAUUUUUAUUUAAACUUAUAAUUUGCUAGUAUACAAAAAUACAAUUGAUUUUUGCAUAUUAACCUUGAAUCCAGAUACUUUACUGAAGUUACUAAUUAAUUCUAAUAGUUCAUUUCUUUAGAUUUUCCAAGUAUAUAGUCAUCUGCAAAUAAUGGUAGUUACAUUUCCUCCCUUUUGGGUUUAUUCUUUUCAUUUCUUUUUAUCACCUGAUUGCAUUAUCUAGGAUUUCUAGUAAGUGUUAAAUGGAAAUGGUGACAGUAGACAUUUUUGUCUUGUUCUCAAAUUGAGUGGGGAAGUAUUUAGUAUUUCACAUUUAAGUAUAGUGUUAGCCAUAGGGUUUUGUUUGUUUAUAUACUUCAUUAUAUUAAAAAAGUUACUUUCUAUUCUUAGUUUUCUGAGAGUUAAAAAUCAUGAACAGAUAUUUUAUUAUAUUUUAGCUUUUUCUGGAUCUAUUGAAAUUAUCAUAUAUUUUUCCCCUUUAUUUUGUCAAUCUGGUGAUAUACAUUUCCUGAUUUUUUUUUUUUUUUUUUUUGAGACGAGAGUCUUGCUCUGUUGCCCAGGUUGGAGUGCAAUGGCACAAUCUUGGCUCACUGCAACCUCCACCUCCUAGGUUCAAGCAAUUCUCCUGCCUCAGCCUCCUGAGUAGCUGGGAUUACAGGCACGCACCACCAUGUCUGGCUAAUUUUUGUAUUUUUAGUAGAGACAGGGUUUCAUCAUGUUGGCCAGGCUGGUCUCGAACUCCUGACCUCGUGACCUGCCUCAGCCUCCCAAAGUGCUGGGAUUACAGGUGUGAGCCACGGCACCCGGCCUCCUGAUUUUUUUUUAAUGGAGUGUUUUACAAAUUUAUGUGUUAUCCUAGUGCAGGGGCCAUGCUAAUCUUCUCUGUAUUGUUCCGAUUUUAGUGUAUGUGUUGCCGAAACAAGCAUGAUUUCCUGAUUUUUAAAUGUUAAAGAAUUCUUGCAUUCCUGGAAUAAGUCUCACUUAGUCAUGAUGUAUUAUUCUUUUUACCUAUUGCUGGAUUUGACUUGCUAAUGUUUUGUUGCAGUUUUCCCAUCUCUGUCCACGAGAGAUAGUAACCUCUACUUUUCAUUUUUGUAAUGCUUUUGUCAGGUUGUAUAUCAGAAUUAUGCUAUCCUUCUCUAGUGAGUUAGAGUGUGUUCCUUUUUUCUUUCUUCACUGGAAGAGUUUGUGUAAGAUUGGUUAUUUUCUUUCUUAAAUGUAUGUUUUGAAGAACUUGCAAGUGAAGUCAUCUGGGCCUGGAAUGUUUUGGCUAGGAAAGGCAUCUGGGAAUCUUGAUGUUUACUUUCUCUUUGUAUUUUUUUUUCCUUAAGAUGUUUGCAGUGGUCCAGAAGAAGGAGAUUUCCUGUGAGAUCUUUUCCAAUCACUUCAAGGAGAAUAAGUGCUCCCCUUUUCCCAGAAAAGGGAUGGAAAAGAGACAACAAAAAUGCCCAGCUUUCAACCAACCUGUAAACAAGGGGCCAUCCAUUCUGGAACCAGAACAGAAACCUCUGAGCCUGUCUAGGAUGUGAAGUCAACAUAUAUAAAGCCAGAAUGUUCUAUCCUUGGCCCAGGUGAUGCUCUUGGAACACAGCAAGCAAACACAUGCACCCAAGUAGUGCCUAGGGAACUCGAGGCUCUCCAAGUAAAAAAGGAGAGAGGGUCAGAAGAGAUGCCCAGCAGACUGCCACAUGGUAGACAAGAGUUCCCUUUCUGGUAAAAUGGCCAUUACUGUCAAGUUUUCUCAAGCAAGAAAUUCAGGAAUCUUGCCAGGCAAGUGGCUCACACCUAUAAUCCCAGCACUUUGGAAGGCUGAGGCGGGCAGAUUA